rnacentral:rRNA from 1 species
UUACUGCUAUCGAGNUCGACUAAGCCAUGCGAGUCGAAUGUAGCAAUACAUGGCGUACUGCUCAGUAACACGUGGACAACCUACCCUUGAGACGGGGAUAAACCCGGGAAACUGGGUAUAAUACCCGAUAGAUCUCGACUGCUGGAAUGCAUCGAGCUCCAAAGCUCCGGCGCUCAAGGAUGGGUCUGCGGCCUAUCAGGUAGUAGUGGGUGUAGCGUACCUACUAGCCUACGACGGGUACGGGUUGUGAGAGCAAGAGCCCGGAGAUGGAUUCUGAGACGCGAAUCCAGGCCCUACGGGGUGCAGCAGGCGCGAAAACUUUACAAUGCUGGAAACAGCGAUAAGGGGACCUCGAGUGCCAGGUUACAAAUCUGGCUGUCGUGAUGCCUAAAAAGCAUUGCAUAGCAAGGGCCGGGCAAGACCGGUGCCAGCCGCCGCGGUAACACCGGCGGCUCGAGUGGUAACCGUUAUUAUUGGGUCUAAAGGGUCUGUAGCCGGCCGGAUAAGUCUCUUGGGAAAUCUGGCAGCUUAACUGUCAGGCUUUCAGGAGAUACUGUCUGGCUCGAGGCCGGGAGAGGUGAGAGGUACUUCAGGGGUAGGGGUGAAAUCUUGUAAUCCUUGAAGGACCACCAGUGGCGAAGGCGUCUCACCAGAACGGACCUGACGGCAAGGGACGAAAGCUAGGGGCACGAACCGGAUUAGAUACCCGGGUAGUCCUAGCCGUAAACGAUACUCGCUAGGUGUCGGCCACGGUGCGGCCGUUGUCGGUGCCGUAGGGAAGCCGUGAAGCGAGCCACCUGGGAAGUACGGCCGCAAGGCUGAAACUUAAAGGAAUUGGCGGGGGAGCACCACAACGGGUGGAGCUUGCGGUUUAAUUGGAUUCAACGCCGGAA